rnacentral:rRNA from 1 species
AACGAACGCUGGCGGCAUGCCUAACACAUGCAAGUCGAACGAGACCUUCGGGUCUAGUGGCGCACGGGUGCGUAACGCGUGGGAACCUGCCCUUAGGUUCGGAAUAACUCCCCGAAAGGGGUGCUAAUACCGGAUAAUGUCUUCGGACCAAAGAUUUAUCGCCUUUGGAUGGGCCCGCGUUGGAUUAGCUAGUUGGUAGGGUAAAAGCCUACCAAGGCGACGAUCCAUAGCUGGUCCGAGAGGAUGAUCAGCCACACUGGGACUGAGACACGGCCCAGACUCCUACGGGAGGCAGCAGUGGGGAAUAUCGGACAAUGGGCGAAAGCCUGAUCCAGCAAUGCCGCGUGAGUGAUGAAGGCCUUAGGGUUGUAAAGCUCUUUUACCCGGGAUGAUAAUGACAGUACCGGGAGAAUAAGCUCCGGCUAACUCCGUG